UCGCCCAAAUAUCUGGUGGUGUGCGGGGACAGGUCGUGGCGAUUUUCCUCGGGUGAGAAAGUAGCGGUUGGCCGGGGCCGAGGCGGGGCGCGAGGGCGAGAGGCGCCGCGGCCGCCCGUGGUCAGAGCAAACAUGGCCUCCUCCAGCAGAGGAAUACAAAUCGGGUCGGCGUGGUUUCAGAGAAAAAUCAAGCUCCGGCCGCAGCACAGAGGAAUCCAUUUAGUUACGGACGAGAUACUGAAGGAAAUUCCAGAACUCAGGCAAUUUUCCGUAGGCCUACUACACGUACAGAUCCUCCACACAUCUGCCAGUUUAGCACUAAAUGAAAACUGGGACCCCUAUGUCAGAGAUGACAUGGAGAUGAUGCUCAACAAAAUAGUGCCUGAGGGGAUGCCUUACCGACAUUCCUGUGAAGGCCCCGAUGAUAUGCCAGCCCACGUCAAGGCCUGUUUCAUAGGUUCCUCUCUUACACUACCAGUUUCAGAAGGCAAACUCAACCUGGGAACUUGGCAGGGUAUAUGGUUAUGUGAACAUAGGAAUGAUGCUGGUCCUAGGAAGAUUGUUGUAACCAUAAAUGGGUGCUUGCGAGAUGGACGUACUCCAGUCUCCCCAAUGUCCCCAAUGGCAUCAACAAGCAGCUAGAAACACCCAACUGUGUGGCAUCAUUGGGUGCCUAGUGUGUUGUGUUCUCAUUGGCCAUGAACGCUACCAAAUGUGGUUGGCGAUUGGCCAAAACCAGUUUGUCGUGUCUCACUUCGUCAGCCAAUACAAACCCAAUUUCUUUGCCCCACUGUGUCCCAUUCCACCGUGUUGCCAUUUUUCAAACAAGUGUACUCAGCCUUUAUACUCACUCUUUUCUUUUUUCAUAGUUGAGCUUUAAUAGCUCACUUUUUUCUGUGAUCACACCUUUUUGCUUGUGCUCAUAAAUCAUAUAUCCUUUGAUUUAUAUCUUAUAUUGUCAUAAUUUGAUCAUUUGAUUAGUGACUCUUUUAAUGGUAUUAUCUGUCUUUAAAACAAAAUUCACUCACCUCCUUUCUUGCACCCCCAUCUUCCUGCAAGGUCUUCCGUCUGAUAUCUUCUCUAUAUUCUCUUCCUAGGCUGUGCACUCUUCUCUUCCUUGCUAAUAGGCCAAGUUACUGCAGUGCUGGGGAGAUGUAAGCACACACUGGUACAAACCUGUAAAGAAGUAAUAUUAAUGUGGAUUAUUAUUAUUCUUCAGUGAAGGAUAAUAUAAUGCAAAACAAACCACAGCAGUUUUCAGUUGUGAGUGAUUUUUCAUACUUUUUUGAAACUAGUGUAUAUCAAUUACAUUCUGUAGCCGUCAAGCUUCAGCUGUUCAAGCCUAUAGCACAGAAUGUCUUAUGGGGCCCAAGGGAGUUGAAGAUUUCAGAUUUGAUGGAAGACAGGACUCCCAUUGAAGACCUGUUUACGCCCCGCAUAUCAGCAGAGACGGCAACUUUAGGGUGUGCAUCAGGUUUCUAUUUCAUCUGCCAACUCUGGGCACCAGCAGAAACAGAGUGGUCAGAUAGACAUUCGUGGACCUUACAAAGUCUUUCCAUAGAGGAUAUUUUUAAUUGUCAUUGCUGGGAAAAUGAGCCAUGUGGAAAUUAAGGUUCAGAGUCUAUGAUCCCACUGAUAAUGGUCCUGGUGAAUAUAUAGUGAUUUUACCCUGAAACAGAAAAUCUGAUUAUGGUCAGAGUUUGUGGUAUCCUUUAACAGCAAAAGCUGCAGUUAUUUGUGUGUAACACAUAAGAUUAAAGAUUUUGUUAAAUCACAUGAAUAAACCCUGUAUUUGUGUGUAUGUUUGGAAUACAAGAAUGUAUGCAGUUUAUGUGUGUUAGUGAGAGUAAUGUGUAAGAAAUUUGUUAAAUGUUGACAUGAAAUUAAUGAAUUUGAAAGUCUGGCAUAUCAAGAUGAAAGAAGAUUCAUGCAUAGAUACAGUAGUAUGUAUAGGGAUAAUGUGAUAAAACAAAUAUCACCUGAAAAAAGGAGAUUGUUUUGAAAACAUGAAGACCUAUCAAGAUUGUUUGAAAAAGGAAUGCUGUUAGUGGAUAGGAGAUGGUAAUUCUCCAUGCUCUGCAUCUUUAUUUCAGUUUCCCCAGCUGUAUGCAAUGCAGACUUAAUUCCUGUGCCAUGGGAAAGAAGAAUUUAUGCAUACAGCAUGAGGGAAUUCUGCUGUUAUACAUUUCUUUAGAGAUUCAUCAGAUAUUAUCCUCCCAGAAUGAUGGCAUUGCUACUUCUUAUCUUUGAUUCAGAAAAGAAUUAGAUAACUGGCAAAGGAUACUUGUUAUUCUUAUAAAUGACUUGGUCAUCAAUUCUGAGUUUGGCCAAUAUCAGAAGGAUUUGAACUUCAUUUUUAAAAAUGAUUAGUAACUUUUUGGAAUAUGACCAAUCUCAAAACAGGAAACUGGAUUCUGACUUCAAAGUUAUUCUAACAGAGAAGCCAGUAAUUGAUCUAGCGUCAAGUCAGUGUUUGAUCAAGUCACUUAAUAGCCAGUCUUUAAUUGGUAGCUGCCUCCCUCUUGCUGUAUGUAGGAGUAUUUGGGCCUUUUUAUUAUUGCACUCAGAUGGUUAUGGUUGGCUUAUCUAUAUAGAUUUAUAAGUGUAGUUGUUAAUUCACCAGUUUUAAAAACUUGUAAACUUCAACGAAGGAACCUCACAUUUAAGGAACCACUUUGUUUGACUCAUUAGAUACACUGCCAUUGAUGGAAUGUUCAUUCAUGACAACCUGUGAGUGGCCACACAACUGACGGGGGGAUAUGUGAAGAAUAUUACACACUGCAAAACAUCAGUUUCAAAUCUUUUAGACAUACGGUUUUUGCAGUAGUUACUCAUUUAGAUUUUUGUGGUAAAUUAUUUUUUAAACAUAUUUUCCCCUAGUGUAUGAAAAAUGCAAUAGGCCAAGCCAGUUGCGUAGUCAUUUGUGGGUAAAUAUGAAUACAUAGUAUUUAUGCUCUUCACAUUGAGCUUUGAUGGAUCAUGUGGUACUCUGAACUCCAAAUUCGUAAGUACCUAGCAAGGAUUAGCAGCAUCUCCAUAUGGUGCUGUAAUGAAUUCAAAUGACAUUACUGACCCUGCAGUUGACAGAAGAAAACUUGGACCUGUGUCAGUGAUGGCAAGUAUGAGGUGUGAGAAUUAGCAUAGUCUACCAGUGGUCUAGGCUCAGAUCGCAAGCAGCAGCAGCAACUGGUAAGAACUCUCUUAGAUGGACUCUUAAACUCCAUAAAGAGGAUCAUAAGGGAACCAAGUGAGCCUUAAGAUAUAUAUAUACAUAUAUAUAUAUUGAAGAUGAAGUUGGACUUCGUUGUUAUUGUAAGUUAUUGUAAAUCUGUUUUUUGCUUCUUAGGCUUGUGCAGUUUGUAAUCAUUAAUGCUUGGACUUUUUUUCCCCUUUGGGAAGUGUGUUGUGAAUGUGCCAUAGAUAAUUUGCUGACAAAAUAGUCCCAACCCAUCAUUUAAAGCUUGAAGAAAAUGAUAAAUUUUAAUUUUCCUUCACUUUAGGAGCACUGUGCACAGAUUGUCUUGUAAGUUCCAAGUUUGAUAAGUUUCCUCUGAAGGAACCAGAGCACCAUCUUUCUGGAGGUUGGCAAAAUGUGUCCAUGUAAAAGACUGUCAGUUUCACCCUUACAGUGAAAGAGAUGUUCUGGAUCUUGGGCUUGCAGAUCACUGGAAACAAAUAGUAAUCCCAAACUUGACUUUCGCUGGCAGUGUGUGCCAGCUUCCAAAUGAAUAUUUGCUUCCAUAUUUCAUAGCCAAAGAAUAAUACAAGACUCUUCCCGACAGCAAAUCAUGAGGGGCCGCAAUUCCAUUUGGGUUGAGGGCAACGCCUUUUCCCUUUGUCUCCAUACUCACGGUGCCAGCAGUUGUGCAGCUUCUAGCCACCGCUUGCUGUAGGUAGAGACAAGAGUGGAGUGGGCACACAGCUGGCUCAGUACAAUCUGGUCAGGAAAGUAUAAUGACUGUACUAAAUAUAAAGACAUGUUCAAUAUAUAUAUAUCUUAAGCACAUUGUUGCCAAUUUAAAUUUUGCUGCCAAAGUGUAAAAGAAAUAGAAAAGAAAAGAAAAAAAAGAGCUGUUGUGAAGGUUGAUAUUCAUGGAGAGCAAAAUGUCCAUUUUCACAAAAAAAAAUGAAGGGCUUGAUUGAAUGUCAGCCAACAGUUUGGGUUCCUGAGAGGCCACAUUAAAUUGUCUUCGAUAAAAUGUCUUUCUUAAUCUUUUUUGAGCCUGUGUCAUCCUGAACCAUCUUGUGUGGCCCCACCCACUGCGAUACAUAACAUACAUAAGAUACAUACUCCUUGUACACUACUGUUCUGUACAUAGUUUGCUGAUGAAAACAUUGUGAAUAUUGUACACAUUAUAUCCAUGAUGAAACCUCAAGAAUGAACUUUUUCAUCUCCCAUUGUCAUGCUCAUGGUUAUGGGAUUUUGCGGUCACUCGAUUGUUCUUCUGCCGGUGUCAUUGUAAUGUUGAAGAUCUAUUUCUGUAGACAGUACAUAUUUUAAAUUCACACUCGUUGAAUGAGGGAUGUGUGUUUUGUUCUGUGCAUAAGAUGUUUAAUUUCCACACUCAUAAAAUUGUAAUCCAGUGAACCAGUCUAAUUAGAAUGUAUACAGUUAUGUUUUCAUUGUUUAUGUAAUAAUGAUUGAUAUAGAAUUUAAUUGGCUUAUUUGUGUAUGCUUUUAUUUUAUUUUUAGUGCACUGGUGUUUUGUAUUGUACUUGAAAAGAUGAUUAUGAAAAAAGAACUAGUUUUGUAAAAAUGGAGACAUUAAUGUAAUGACUAAUGCCACUAUCUUCCUUAAAAAAAAAAAUUCUCCUUCUUUGAUAUUAUAGCAAUUGUCAAUAUAUGUUAUUAUUAUUAUUAUUAUUAUUAUU
rnacentral:misc_RNA from 1 species